GAAAAAGUCAACAACGAGAUAACUGAUGGUAUCCGAAGGCAUACCACUACCACCAGAAAGAAAGGAAGGCGACGAUUCCAUGCUGGCUGAUAGUUAUGGAUUUCUGGAGACAGUAUGGCUCUGAUGAUGCAAGAUCAAUCAUAGACAAUGAAGAUGCAAAUCCAGACAGGCCUUUACCAGCGGUUUACGAGCAGCAAAAGCAUGUGACCGGAUAUUACUCAGUUAUAAUUUUUUCAAGAACAUUCCGAGAUAGAGAUACUGUACAUACAUUUUAGCUAUACACCUUUUCAAGCAUGAAAUCAUCUUACAGCCUUGGACUUGCAGAUGAACUAAGGAAGAGCCCAACGAAGUAAUGCAGAGGACAACCCUAUGUACACAAGCGCUUCAACAAAAACUCAGAUAACUGGUCUGUAGAAGUGUUAAUAGCCAAAUGUUGAUUAGAGAGAUACAGGUUGUGAUUAUUAUUGAUAGCGAUAUCAUCUACAGGAAAAAUGAAAUGAAAGCAAAUGAUCUCCGAUGAGUUCAACAAACCAUUGCAAAGGUACACCCACCACCUAUGCAGGAUUUGGUAAAUUUUGAGUGCAGAUUUUCAGAACAAUGACUGUAAACAAGGCCUAAAAUGACUUGUUUUUGUUGUAUACUGUAUAGCUGGCAUGUGCUGCAUAUGUUUAUGGGGAAAUAAAUUCCGAUUUUGAAAAAUAGUGUUAGAAUAUCAGUCCCCGAGUUUUGCUUGUCUGAAGAAGAGUUAAAUAAUUUGCUAAACAAAAAAGUACUCUUUUAACAGUGGAUUAUAAUGAUGAAUGUAGAAAUGGUUCUGACUGGUAAAACAACAAUGAGGCUGAAUACUGUAUGUAAUCAGCUUCCAACUGCUACCUCAGCCUUGAUUUGUAUAGUUUAACAUCAGGUUCGUCCAGGUAUCAGAAAUACAGUAGAUAAUGCUGCUCCAAAUUCAGAAGUGCAAUGUUCAAAGAUGAAAUGUCAAUAUGAGAAAAGUAGGCUAGGUCUAUACAACACACACUACAGCACCUCCGUCAACAAAGAAUGUACAGUAUAAUACAAAAGGACAUCAACAAUGUAAUGUAAACAAAAUAUUACUGAUUGGUUGAUGAUUUAUUCAGUAGCAACAGACGAACUGGCAAUUGUGUCCAACUCUGAACAAAACUUGAACCAAACUGUUAUAAAACUAUUACUAUUGGUUAUUAACAAUAUUAUAUAAUAUAAGAAAGUAUAAUACAUACUCCAAGUAUUGAAAUACACGCCAUCGUGUUGGGAUUCAAUAU